CCCUAAAUCUAGAUGCUUAUGUUACUAAAGAUCCGCCCGAGGACUACGAGCACAAACGCUUAAAACUCUAAGGACUUGGCGGUGCCCUAAACCCACCUAGAGGAGCCUGUUCUAUAAUCGAUAACCCACGAUGCACCCGACCACUUCUUGCCAAACACAGCCUACAUACCGCCGUCGCCAGCUCACCUCUCCUGAAAGUACAGCAGUGAGCACAAUAGCCCCAGCCCCGCUAGCAAGACAGGUCAAGGUAUAGCCUAUGGAGUGGAAGAAAUGGGCUACAUUUUCUAACCUAGAACACCCCACGGAAGGGGCAUGAAACAGCCCCAGAAGGCGGAUUUAGCAGUAAAGCGGGAUAACAAAGCCCUC
rnacentral:rRNA from 1 species